rnacentral:tRNA from 3 species
CCGGGUAAGCCAUGCUGGUUAUGUGCAGUCAGACUGUAAAUCUGAUGUCUUCGGACUUCGGGGGUUCGAUUCCCUCUACCCGGAC